rnacentral:rRNA from 1 species
AACCAACGCUGGCGGCGUGCCUAAUACAUGCAAGUCGAACGGGGAAAGCUUUCGGGUGAGUACUAGUGGCGCACGGGUGAGUAACGCGUGGAUAAUCUGCCUUAGAGUGGGGGAUAACUAGUCGAAAGAUUAGCUAAUACCGCAUAAGACCACAAGAACUGCGGUUCAAGGGGUCAAAGGUUUUUCGCUCUAAGAUGAGUCCGCGUAAGAUUAGCUAGUUGGUAGGGUAACGGCCUACCAAGGCGACGAUCUUUAACUGGUCUGAGAGGAUGAUCAGUCACACUGGAACUGAGACACGGUCCAGACUCCUACGGGAGGCAGCAGUAGGGAAUAUUGCACAAUGGAGGAAACUCUGAUGCAGCGACGCCGCGUGAGUGAUGAAGGCCUUCGGGUCGUAAAGCUCUGUCGCAGGGGAAUAACACAAUGAAGGUACCCUGUAAGAAAGGAUCGGCUAACUUCGUGCCAGCCGCCGCUGUAAGAC